AAGUACCUUCGGGUGCGAGUACAGUGGCGGACGGGUGAGUAACGCGUAGGAAUCUACCCAGUAGCGGGGGAUAACUCCGGGAAACCGGGGCUAAUACCGCAUACGCUCCUUCUUUUGGUUAAGGAGGAGGAAAGAGGGCCUCUAUUUAUAAGCUCUCACUAUUGGAGGAGCCUGCGUUGGAUUAGCUAGUUGGUAGGGUAAAGGCCUACCAAGGCGACGAUCUAUAGCUGGUCUGAGAGGACGAUCAGCCACACUGGAACUGAGACACGGUCCAGACUCCUACGGGAGGCAGCAGUGGGGAAUCUUGGGCAAUGGGCGCAAGCCUGACCCAGCCAUGCCGCGUGUGUGAAGAAGGCCUUCGGGUUGUAAAGCACUUUCAGUAGUGAAGAAAAGCUUGAGGCUAAUACCCUUGAGUCUUGACGUUAGCUACAGAAGAAGCACCGGCUAACUCCGUGCCAGCAGCCGCGGUAAUACGGAGGGUGCGAACGUUAAUCGGAAUUACUGGGCGUAAAGCGCGCGUAGGCGGUUCGGUAAGUGGGAUGUGAAAGCCCCGGGCUCAACCUGGGAAUUGCAUUCCAAACUGCCGAGCUAGAGUAUGGUAGAGGGAGGUAGAAUUUCCUGUGUAGCGGUGAAAUGCGUAGAUAUAGGAAGGAAUACCAGUGGCGAAGGCGGCCUCCUGGACCAAUACUGACGCUGAGGUGCGAA
rnacentral:rRNA from 1 species